GUUCUACAAUCUCAACCUUAUGGACCAUCUCUCCACUCAUGCAGACAGCAACUUAUUUAAGCAUUCUUAGAUUAUAAAAAAGGUAUGUAUGUAUAUGAGUUUAUAGUUAUAUCUAUACAGUUUUGCCAUAAAGAAUACAUCCACUAUGCUGCAGGUCUUUCUGAAGCUAUUUUUCAGAUUCUUAACUGAGAAUCCUAGCACCUGGGUAAAAAUUCAUAUGAGCUUAGGAGGAGUUUUGGUGUUGAGAGAAUCUACUAUCCUAAUGCUAUCAAACUUUCUCAUACACUUAGAUUCAAGGUUUUGAGUCACAUAGAGGAAAAAAAUAAAUCUUAUUCUGUUACUCCUUCUUAGGUCCACCUCAAUUCUACCUAUUGGUGAUAUAUAUUCCCUUUCCUUUGAACUCUUUGUAAACUGUUCUUCUUUUCUACAGACUUCCUGAGCUCCUUCUAUUUUGUUGACUUCUCGAAAACUCAGCUCCAUUAUGCCAGCCGAGGAAAAGACAUUGCAAGAGUUGAGGGCCAUUGACUGCUUUGCAUCACAUGAACUGUGAGCCCCAUGGCUCCAUUUUCUUAUUCAACCUGUCCUAGAUGUCAAAUGAUAGAACCCAUAUUAACAGGAUUCAUGAAACCAUGAGAUAUGCCCCAGAAGUGCCAAUCCAAAAUUCUCCAGAUGCCUAGAACACUUUAACCUUAUUCCUCAUCUCUGAAAUGCUACUCUCCUUUGGCAGAUGAUGAAAGAGACUGGCACCUCUGGUCCUGUGAACUUAAAAGGCCAUGAGUUCCUGAGACAAUGCAAAAUUGAUUCCUGGAGGCCAAGAAGUGACUUUUUGGACUCCAUCCCAGAUUUGAAUGAGGAGCCCACUGAGUUCCUGUCAUUUUGUACUUCCUGUACAGAGGAGAUAAAUAUUGAGUGAGCAGUCCUGCUCUUUCUCUUGGGCAUGCAGCAAGUGUGGUGACAGUGGUGAGUGGGGAUUUUGAAAUGGCUAAUCAGCCAUGGGCAUGUGGUAUUUAUUUUGUAUCCUCUUUAUAAUUGAUUUCUAAUGAUCAUUAAUAAAUCCCUUAAAUUAAAAUAUUUUCA
rnacentral:lncRNA from 1 species